UGGGGAAUUUUGGACAAUGGGCGCAAGCCUGAUCCAGCCAUGCCGCGUGAGUGAUGAAGGCCUUAGGGUUGUAAAGCUCUUUUGCCGGGGACGAUAAUGACGGUACCCGGAGAAUAAGUCCCGGCUAACUUCGUGCCAGCAGCCGCGGUAAUACGAAGGGGACUAGCGUUGUUCGGAAUCACUGGGCGUAAAGCGCACGUAGGCGGAUUUGUAAGUCAGGGGUGAAAUCCCGGGGCUCAACCUCGGAACUGCCUUUGAUACUGCGGAUCUCGAGUCCGAUAGAGGUGAGUGGAAUUCCUAGUGUAGAGGUGAAAUUCGUAGAUAUUAGGAAGAACACCGGUGGCGAAGGCGGCUCACUGGAUCGGUACUGACGCUGAGGUGCGAAAGCGUGGGGAGCAAACAGGAUUAGAUACCCGCGUAGUCCCUGAGCGGGCUGGCAAGGCGCAU
rnacentral:rRNA from 1 species